UAUCCAGACUCCUACGGGAGGCAGCAGUGAGGAAUAUUGGUCAAUGGGCGGGAGCCUGAACCAGCCAAGUCGCGUGAGGGAAGAAUGUCCUAUGGAUUGUAAACCUCUUUUGUCAGGGAGCAAAGUCACCCACGUGUGGGUGUUGGAGAGUACCUGAAGAAAAAGCAUCGGCUAACUCCGUGCCAGCAGCCGCGGUAAUACGGAGGAUGCGAGCGUUAUCCGGAUUUAUUGGGUUUAAAGGGUGCGUAGGUGGUUAAUUAAGUCAGCGGUGAAAGUUUGUGGCUCAACCAUAAAAUUGCCGUUGAAACUGGUUGACUUGAGUAUAUUUGAGGUAGGCGGAAUGCGUGGUGUAGCGGUGAAAUGCAUAGAUAUCACGCAGAACUCCGAUUGCGAAGGCAGCUUACUAAACUAUAACUUACACUGAAGCACGAAAGCGUGGGGAUCAAACAGGAUUAGAUACCCGUGUAAA
rnacentral:rRNA from 1 species